GGCACGAUCUCGGCUCACUGCAACCUCUACCUCCUGGGUUCAAGCAAUUCUCCUGCCUCUGGCUCCUGAGUAGCUGGGAUUACAGGCACGCGCCACCACGCUUGGCUAAUUUUUGUAUUUUUGGUAGAGACGGCGUUUCACCAUGUUGGCCGGUCUGGCCUGGAACUCCUGACCUCAGGUGAUGUGCCUGCCUCGGCCUCUCAAAGUGUUGGGAUUACAGGUGUGAGCCAUCGCGCCUGGCCCAGAUGUCUCUAAUGCUAACAUGAGAUGUAUUGCAGGAUCAUAGCAGAAUGAUGAUUAUUCUCCACCUUCUAAGAGAACAAAGACCAACGAGCCACCACAGCCACCAGUCCUGGAACCUGCCAAUGCUGGGGAACGGAAAGUGAGGGAGUUCAGCUCUGUAAAGGAAGAAUGGUAUGCCAGAAUCACUAAAUGAAGAAAGAUGGUGGAUCAGCUUUUCUGCAAAAAAAUUUGUAACUCCAGUCGGACUCCAUUGUCUCCAAGUCGACUUUCGUCCUCAUCCACAACUCCUCCACACAAGCCCUGAACACGUGUCCAUCUCAAGCUCUUGGACUCAGAGGCAGUAAAAGUACCAUAUUCUGUGUUUGAAUCAAACCCCGAGUUCCUGUAUGUAGAAGGCUUGCCAGACAGAAUUCCCUUUCCAAGCCCUACCUGGUUUGGAAUUCCAUGACUUGAAAGGAUCAUCUGUGGAGUAAUAAAACCAAGUUUGUUGUUAAAAAGUAAGUUCCAGGCCGGGUAUGGUGGCUCACGCCUGUAAUCCCAGCACUUUGGGAGGCCAAGGCAGGUGAAUCACCUGAGGUCAGGAGUUCAAGACCAGCCUGACCAACAUCUCUACUAAAAAUGUUAAAAAUUAGCCAGGUAUGGUGGCUGGUGCCUGUAAUCCCAGCUACUUGGGAGCCUGAAGCAGGAGAAUCGCUUGAAGCUGGGAGGCAGAGGCUGCAGUGAGCCAAGAUCACAGCACUGUACUCUAGCCUGGGCGACAGAGUGAGACUCUGCCUCAACA
rnacentral:lncRNA from 1 species